CGUUUCUUUUAAAAUUCAAGCCAUGCUCAGCUCAUUUUGGAUGAUUAAAAAAGGAGUUUUUAUUUUUGUUUCCUAAUUUCUGAGUUUUCUCCUGAAAAAUGUUUUUGAUCUGAUCAAACAGAUUUAUCCUUCCAGACAGACCUUUAUUCUCAUUGCUGCAGCCAUUUCUGCCUUGAGGCAGUGAAGAGGACUCCUGUUUCUCUGCAUCCCUUCAUGGUUUCACUGCAAUUGAGUCAUCUCCAAUGUAUCUGCUAAACCCUGGCUAAAGACAAGAAGGUCUGAACACAGCAAGAAAGCACCAUGUAGCAAAAACGCAACGUCGAAAAUGGAAAACAGGGAGCAGCUGUUUUAUUUCGGGAGAGAAGAGUAAGAGGCAGCUGCUUUUCCUUGGAAAACUGUUAUGGAGUUGAUAUAAGAACUCGAUAAUAAAUUACCCAGGAGAACCAUGCACUUGUGAAAGAAAGAAGCAAUGGAACUGAGACUGAACACCUACCUGGUCAGCAGGAGAUCAGAAGUCAUGUUCAGCUCCCAGCAACCUGCCUGUCAGCCUGGAAUAUUGCUGUAAAAUCCAUGCAGUUAUGCUGCCUUCACAGUGAAGCCUCCAGCCAGAUGACAUUUGUAUGUGUGAGGAGUUUGUGCUGGGUGGAAAUACCUGAAAUACUGCAGCCACCUGUUGGCUGAAGAACAAGCAUCCACGAAUAAAUGUCAUUUUGAAUUGUCCCAUUGACUCACCAACACCACACAAUAAAACAGUCCCUUUCCUUCUGGGGCUUAGCAGUGCUGCUGUCUCCAUGUCUGCACAGACAUCUGCAUAAGCUGCGAAUUAAAUGAGAAGACAAGAAAUCACCUUAAACAUCAAAUGUUCCCUGCUGGUUUGUGUUUAUGCAACAGACAGAGCCAAAGAGAAGAUGUGACCCAUAUACUCGGGUUAUAGGACUAACAUCUUAUAGAAAUUCAAUGUUUUGGUAAUCCUAGGUACUCCUUUGGGACUCUGGCCUAAGUCUGUGUUGAUAUCUCAACCUGCAGGAGCUGAGGCCUAAAACAAGUUUCUCAGAUAAAAUGCCAUAACAUUGCCAAGCCAAAGGAAAUAGUGGUGGAAGAUACACAGAAAAGCAAAUUCAGUGAGUUACUUGUAGGGAAGUUGUAGCUACUCAGACAUGUGAAAGGAAGAAUAUUCAUUGAAGGAGCAGAGUGGAACUCUCUUCUAUUUAAAUGUAUUGGUUGACUGAAGUGGGAAUAUUCAAAGCAUAUUUUUCUCCUAUUAAGCAAGUACCAGCUGCUGGAACAGAAAGACAUGCAGGAGAGUGGAUCCAGCUGGUUUCCUCCCUUGCCAUGCUCUCAGAGCACCUCAAAGACUGCUCUAGGCUCUAAUGUCUGGUAAAAGAUCCCAGAGAAUGAGAAUUGGUGAUGACAACUCCAGCAAAACAAACACCCAUCUCCUCUCCUGCCUGGAUAUAACUUCAGAGGAAUUUUCUUAGGGAUGUGAGACGCCUUUCAGAUAUAACAAGAAUAUUUUAAUAUAUGGACAAUUCAGUCAAACCAUGGUAUCUCCAACACAAAAAUAGCUAGUUCUUCUUCUCUACCAUGCCUGCAUCAAUAAAGCUACUAUUGAACCAUUGGUGUGUAUUCAAAGAGCAGCAAAACUUACAGGGAGCCAGAAAUUAUUUAAUAAUGACAGAAUGAAUGUGACUAAGUAAAAGGCCUAAAAGAGAGCUCAGACAGCUAAAAAUACAAUCAAAGAGAGAAGAUUAGAAACAACUGAAUGAGUUCAAAAAACAGUGAAGCAUUGGUUUUGGAGCAGAAAACCUUUCUGAAAAAAAUACCAGUAUGUUUACAAAAGCUGUUUUCUACACAAAAUGCUGGAAGCAUCAAUGGAAUAUUCAAAUUUAUGGAAUCACUAGAAAUUCAGUGCAAGCCAGAAAAAUUGUUUGGUGAAAGUCCUCUAAGAAUUGCAUGCCAUUUCUAACUUCUGUUAGUGCUGGGUGCUGUGGGACCUCGAGUUCUGAGCAAGAUGUAAUUAGAAAGCAACACAAGCCUUAGAAGUUGUUCCUAUUUCAGCUAUUUCUAAGGGCACUUUUAAUUGGCAAUAUUCAAAUAUAAACUCCUCCAGAUAUGAGUAAUGACACAGUCUUCAACUCUCUCCUAAAUUAUUCCGAGUUUCUCAGUGAAAGAUUAUUUUAGUAUGAACCAGUUAUCUCCAUUUAGAAUAAUAAGACAGCAAUUUUGGUAGAUUCUGAGCUAAACCUUCUUGAGACUGGUGUGUAAUGAAAGAGAGAAAAGUAGCUCAGUAAAAUAAUCAGCAACAGAAAGACUUUUAGAAAGCUUCAAUAUGUUCAGAAGACUCUGAGCACUGAAAUAUAUGUAUAAAUACAUAUAUUUAUAUCUUCAUAAACACCUCAGAAGGGAAUGAAGAACCACUUCUUGGGUUGAUGGUCUGGCUGAAGCAAUGCAUUGGAGCCAUGAGCAGAGAGCUGCUGUUUGUAUCGCUCUCAGAUUUAAAACAGCACAUUGUCCUGACUAAACAUAAUUUGUCAAGGAUGUCUGACUAUCACCAGUUUCUACACUUAAUCAAAAUAUACCAUUCUUUCAUUAGUCACUUGCAUCAAAAGGAUGAGAAAGCUUACAACAAAGUCCUUAUUUUCCAGAGAACUCUCUGUUAGGUAGUUCUUACUAUGACUACUCAGGAUGCAGUGACUUUGAGCAAUGACUUUCUCUUACUGUAUAUUUAUGAAACAAAUUCAUUUCCUGAUGUAAAUUAAUAGUGGUGGCUUGUAGGAAGAACAAAACCUACACAUGUAUAUUAUUAUGAAACAUGCCAGCAAAGCAUUUAUUUUAUUAAGCUACCAAACACCCUGCAAGACACUGAAUGUACAAUAAGAUAAGAAUGAGGGGGGAAAAAAAGCCUGUCCCCUAAUCAGCUCAGAAGUUCAACAACACUGAAAUGUUGCAGACUCAUGCCAUGUACCAUUUCACAGAGAGCUGCUGCAGAGGAAACAGGGUGUGAGACAGGUAAGGCUGGGUCCCCACUGGAAUUCAAUUAACAGACUGCUUGAUGUUUUCUAAUUAUCAUAGAAUCAUAGAAUAAUUUGGAAGUUGGAAGGCGCCUUAAAAGAUCAUCUCUUUCCAACCCCAUUGCCAUGGGCAGGGACAACUUCCACUAGACCAGGUUACUCCAAGCCUCAUCCAGCCUGGCCUUGAACACUUCCAGCAAUGGAACAUUCACAGCUUCUCUUGGCAAUCUGUGCCAGUACCUCACCACUCUCAUUCUAAUUAUCUGAAACAAAUCUCAACAGCAGGCACUACUGAAGGACAUAGAGCUAUUUAUGUUUUCCGUAGAAAUCCAAACGUCUAACAGCUUGAAAUAAAGGUGCCCUUUGUGGAUUUAUUGACAGCAGAUGAGGUUCUUGCACUUUCAAAGCAGGCUGUGAAAUUCCUGACAGAGGAACGGGCACUGGCAGUGUUGCUGGAGCCAUCAGGAAAAGCUGAGGGCCACACUUCUGCUGCAUCGCCCAUUUUUCACCACAACAGGGUCACAAGGACCAAAAUGCAGUUCAUUUACCUUGUUUUCCCUUUUGCCAUGGGAUAACGCAUCUUCUGAAUGCCAUUUUUUCUAAAAAGGCUCUCAAACAAACUGAAAACAAUCUCCUGUGGAAACUCCAUGCUCUCUUAGUAUAGUAUUUAUAAUAUAGUAUUUGUGGAAUAGGUGAUACAUCCUUCAAAAGGUAAAACACCCCAAGUAUUAUAUGAAAAAACAUACAGUGCUUGCAUUAGGUUUUGGCAAUAUUUUUAGGAAAUCUCUGAAAAGCUAAAGAAUAAUAAUAAAAAAAGUUAUGUUUUGAACAUCUAUUUCAUAUAGACUUCCAACUGUGUGAGCCCCACAGUAGUUUAGAAAGCGUCUCUAUGCAUGGGCAUGUGGGAGGUCACAUCCUCCCAUGACUGACAUGACUCUGUCUCCUUUUUCCCAAGAAGGCUUCAGAACCUGAGGAAACACAGGCUGGUUCUCUCUCAGGUUUCCCCUUCCCCAAAGAUUUCACUUUGCUCUUCCCUGUUAACUGCCAUAAAUGGCUCCUACAGAAAGAAUGAGAAUUUGAUUAGGAUGCAUCACACAGGCCAAGGAACAUGAAUCAGCAUCAUUUAUCCUGCUGCAGCACAGCACCUCACAAUGAAAACCACAUGGGAAAUCUGAAAAGUGACAGUCAGGGCUCCAGAUUAAAAUGAUUCUUGAAAUUUCAAGGAAAUUAAGCCUGAACCUUAGGUUUAAUUAAUUAGUCAAUUAUUACACACAAAUAUUGCUU